rnacentral:rRNA from 1 species
GACGAACGCUGGCGGCGUGCUUAACACAUGCAAGUCGAACGAAGAGCGAUGGAAGCUUGCUUCUAUCAAUCUUAGUGGCGAACGGGUGAGUAACGCGUAAUCAACCCGCCCUUCAGAGGGGGACAACAGUUGGAAACGACUGCUAAUACCGCAUACGAUCUAAUCUCGGCAUCGAGGAUAGAUGAAAGGUGGCCUCUACAUGUAAGCUAUCACUGAAGGAGGGGAUUGCGUCUGAUUAGCUAGUUGGAGGGGUAACGGCCCACCAAGGCGAUGAUCAGUAGCCGGUCUGAGAGGAUGAACGGCCACAUUGGGACUGAGACACGGCCCAGACUCCUACGGGAGGCAGCAGUGGGGAAUCUUCCGCAAUGGACGAAAGUCUGACGGAGCAACGCCGCGUGAGUGAUGACGGCCUUCGGGUUGUAAAGCUCUGUUAAUCGGGACGAAAGGCCUUCUUGCGAAUAGUGAGAAGGAUUGACGGUACCGGAAGAGAAAGCCACGGCUAACUACGUG